CAGUCGCCGCGGGAAUACGUAGGGUGCGAGCGUUAAUCGGAAUUACUGGGCGUAAAGCGUGCGCAGGCGGUUGUGUAAGACAGGUGUGAAAUCCCCGGGCUUAACCUGGGAACUGCGCUUGUGACUGCACAGCUAGAGUAUGGCAGAGGGGGGUGGAAUUCCACGUGUAGCAGUGAAAUGCGUAGAGAUGUGGAGGAAUACCGAUGGCGAAGGCAGCCCCCUGGGCCAAUACUGACGCUCAUGCACGAAAGCGUGGGGAGCAAACCGGAUUAGAUACCCCAGUAGUCCCUGUCUCUUAUAC
rnacentral:rRNA from 1 species